rnacentral:rRNA from 1 species
UAGGGAAUCUUCCGCAAUGGGCGAAAGCCUGACGGAGCAACGCCGCGUGAGUGAUGAAGGUCUUCGGAUCGUAAAACUCUGUUAUUAGGGAAGAACAAAUGUGUAAGUAACUAUGCACGUCUUGACGGUACCUAAUCAGAAAGCCACGGCUAACUACGUGCCAGCAGCCGCGGUAAUACGUAGGUGGCAAGCGUUAUCCGGAAUUAUUGGGCGUAAAGCGCGCGUAGGCGGUUUUUUAAGUCUGAUGUGAAAGCCCACGGCUCAACCGUGGGGGGUCAUUGGCAACUGGAAAACUUGAGUGCAGAAGAGGAAAGUGGAAUUCCAUGUGUAGCAGUGAAAUGCGCAGAGAUAUGGAGGAACACCAGUGGCAAAGGCGACUUUCUGGUCUGUAACUGACGCUGAUGUGCGAAAGCGUGGGGAUCAAACAGG